GUCCCCGUAGUUCAAUUGGAUAGAAUGCCUCCCUCCGAAGGAGGAGAUUGUGCGUUCGAGUCGCACCGGGGACA
rnacentral:tRNA from 2 species